rnacentral:piRNA from 4 species
GGCCCAUAACCCAGAGGUCGAUGGA